ensembl:lncRNA
GUUGCGUUGGCAUGGCGCCCCCUGGUAGGGCGUUGAUACUCUUCCAGCCCAGCGUUUCUCAUGAUGUUCCUUGAGGGCCAGAUUAAGCCACCUACACGGUACCUCCCCUGCAUGUACAAUCGCCCGGCGCAUCGGAGCGGCACUCUGCACAUAUUGAAACCCGGCCGGAGAAGCCCUCAUUAUCUGUAGCGGCAUCGCUAACCGAGCGCAGCAUAAUCAAAGCCUCGGGGUUUCUCAGGAAGCAACUCUGGAAGCCCGGGAAAAGAACAGUCCCUGCUGUGAGAUGGUUAGCAUGAUGAGAGCGGGGGUCUUUGGAAGUUGCAGGGGAUAUUUCGAUGGACUUUUCUGCGCUGGAGUGAAGGUUGGCAGACAUGCCCCACAGCCUCUCUGCAGACUGAAGUUGUCAGCAUGGGAUUGAAACGUAGGGUCUCUCAUUAAACCCAUGCUGAUUUGGUUA